rnacentral:rRNA from 1 species
GAUGAACGCUAGCUACAGGCUUAACACAUGCAAGUCGAGGGGAAACGAUAUUGGAAGCUUGCUUCCGAUAGGCGUCGACCGGCGCACGGGUGAGUAACGCGUAUCCAACCUGCCCACCACUUGGGGAUAACCUUGCGAAAGUAAGACUAAUACCCAAUGACGUCUCUAGAAGACAUCUGAAAGGGAUUAAAGAUUUAUCGGUGAUGGAUGGGGAUGCGUCUGAUUAGCUUGUUGGCGGGGUAACGGCCCACCAAGGCUACGAUCAGUAGGGGUUCUGAGAGGAAGGUCCCCCACAUUGGAACUGAGACACGGUCCAAACUCCUACGGGAGGCAGCAGUGAGGAAUAUUGGUCAAUGGACGAGAGUCUGAACCAGCCAAGUAGCGUGCAGGAUGACGGCCCUAUGGGUUGUAAACUGCUUUUAUAAGGGAAUAAAGUGAGUCUCGUGAGACUUUUUGCAUGUACCUUAUGAAUAAGGACCGGCUAAUUCCGUGCCAGCCGCCGCCGUAA